AACGUAGGAGGCGAGCGUUAUCCGGAUUUACUGGGCGUAAAGCGCGUGUAGGCGGUCUAGCAAGUUGGAUGUGAAAUCUCCUGGCUCAACCGGGAGAGGUCGUUCAAUACUGCUAGGCUAGAGAGCAGUAGAGGGGGGUGGAAGUCCGGGUGUAGCGGUGAAAUGCGUAGAUAUCCGGAGGAACACCAGUGGCGAAGGCGGCCCCCUGGACUGUCUCUGACGCUCAGACGCGAAAGCUAGGGGAGCAAACGGG
rnacentral:rRNA from 1 species